rnacentral:rRNA from 1 species
UACGGGGGGGGCAAGCGUUGUUCGGAAUUACGGGGCGUAAAGGGUUCGUAGGUGGCUUGCUCAGUCAGACGUGAAAUCCCUCAGCUUAACUGGGGAACUGCGUCUGAUACUGGCGAGCUUGAGUGCAGGAGAGGAACGCGGAAUUCCAGGUGUAGCGGUGAAAUGCGUAGAUAUCUGGAGGAACACCGGUGGCGAAGGCGGCGACCUGGGUAGAUACUGACGCUGAGGUGCGAAAGCGUGGGGAGCAAACAGG